rnacentral:lncRNA from 1 species
GGCUCCGCGGUCCACCGUCCGCCCCGCUCCUGACUGUCAGGCUGCAGCCUGCGCGACUCCCGGUCCCUCUUUGCAUAUCAGGGCCCGGGGCCCCUGGCCCGGAGCAGGGGUGCUGGCGCGGGGCGGCCAGAGCCAGGCUGACAGGCGCUAGGGGGAGGGGGGAGUGAGGGAGGGGCGGGGGGAGCCGGGAGCGAGAGUGGCGCGCUGCAAAGUGAUCCAACCUCGCCCCAUCCCCGCGCUCCGGGAGAAGGCGGCCCACCGGGACCGCCUCCCGCCUCCCCACACAGACUCCCGCAAGUGGGGUGAACGCCGAGGGGCGCCAAGCUCCCAGCCCCCACCCCUCUCCAAAACGCAACCAGCACUGCCAAAACAACAAGAAUCUCGGCAACUCCAGGCCGGACGACUAGGGGGACAGCACCCCCAACACGCCCGCCCCAGCAACAGUCUCGUUCCCCAAACUUGUCCGAGAAGCCGCGUCCAGGGCAGCAGCCCCCCACCCGCCCCACCCCCUCAAGCUCCCCGCGCCCUGCCCAGCUUACCUGUCCGGAAAAAGGCGUCCACGUCCGAGUCGGCGGCUCCUCCUUCCUCCGCUGCCCCCUCCGGGGGGUUCAUGACUGGGGGAGGGCGUCCACGGGUAGCCGGGGGGCGGCCAAGCCCGGGGCCGAGGGCUGCUCUGUGGGCGGAGGGCGCUGGGCUGUGGACACCGGGCUUCGAGGGCGGCCGGCCGGGGCGGCUGGGCUGGGGCAGAGGACGCCGAGGCUCCCUCAGGCGGAGGCGCACGGCGGGCUGGGGGCGCCUGCCGCGGGCUCCCCCAUGGUCCCCCUUCCCCGGGGGGCGCUGGCCGCCUGCGGUCUGCCCGGGCCGGGGUCCGAGCUGCUUGGGCGCCCGCUCUCCCUCAGCAGCGGCAGCUGGCUCUCCUUCUCGCCCGUCUGCCUGUCUCUAUUGUUCAGCCCUGCUCCGCUCUCCUCUUUAUUUUUCCUCCUCCCUCCCACCCUCCCUGUCUCUCUACCUCC